rnacentral:rRNA from 1 species
CCUGGCUCAGGAUGAACGCUAGCGACAGGCUUAACACAUGCAAGUCGAGGGGCAGCACAGGUAGCAAUACCGGGUGGCGACCGGCGCACGGGUGAGUAACGCGUAUGCAACUUACCUAUCAGAGGGGGAUAACCCGGCGAAAGUCGGACUAAUACCGCAUGAAGCAGGGGCCCCGCAUGGGGAUAUUUGCUAAAGAUUCAUCGCUGAUAGAUAGGCAUGCGUUCCAUUAGGCAGUUGGCGGGGUAACGGCCCACCAAACCGACGAUGGAUAGGGGUUCUGAGAGGAAGGUCCCCCACAUUGGUACUGAGACACGGACCAAACUCCUACGGGAGGCAGCAGUGAGGAAUAUUGGUCAAUGGGCGUAAGCCUGAACCAGCCAAGUCGCGUGAGGGAUGAAGGUUCUAUGGGUCGUAAACCUCUUUUAUAAGGGAAUAAAGUGCGGGACGUGUCCCGUUUUGUAUGUACCUUAUGAAUAAGGAUCGGCUAACUCCGUGCCAGCAGCCGCGGUAAUACGGAGGAUCCGAGCGUUAUCCGGAUUUAUUGGGUUUAAAGGGUGCGUAGGCGGCCUUUUAAGUCAGCGGUGAAAGUCUGUGGCUCAACCAUAGAAUUGCCGUUGAAACUGGGAGGCUUGAGUAUGUUUGAGGCAGGCGGAAUGCGUGGUGUAGCGGUGAAAUGCUUAGAUAUCACGCAGAACCCCGAUUGCGAAGGCAGCCUGCCAAGCCAUGACUGACGCUGAUGCACGAAAGCGUGGGGAUCAAACAGGAUUAGAUACCCUGGUAGUCCACGCAGUAAACGAUGAUCACUAGCUGUUUGCGAUACAGUGUAAGCGGCACAGCGAAAGCGUUAAGUGAUCCACCUGGGGAGUACGCCGGCAACGGUGAAACUCAAAGGAAUUGACGGGGGCCCGCACAAGCGGAGGAACAUGUGGUUUAAUUCGAUGAUACGCGAGGAACCUUACCCGGGUUUGAACGCAUUCGGACCGAGGUGGAAACACCUUUUCUAGCAAUAGCCGUUUGCGAGGUGCUGCAUGGUUGUCGUCAGCUCGUGCCGUGAGGUGUCGGCUUAAGUGCCAUAACGAGCGCAACCCUUGCCACUAGUUACUAACAGGUAAAGCUGAGGACUCUGGUGGGACUGCCAGCGUAAGCUGCGAGGAAGGCGGGGAUGACGUCAAAUCAGCACGGCCCUUACAUCCGGGGCGACACACGUGUUACAAUGGCGUGGACAAAGGGAAGCCACCUGGCGACAGGGAGCGAAUCCCCAAACCACGUCUCAGUUCGGAUCGGAGUCUGCAACCCGACUCCGUGAAGCUGGAUUCGCUAGUAAUCGCGCAUCAGCCAUGGCGCGGUGAAUACGUUCCCGGGCCUUGUACACACCGCCC